rnacentral:rRNA from 1 species
UACAGAGGUCUCAAGCGUUGUUCGGAUUCAUUGGGCGUAAAGGGUGCGUAGGCGGCGUGGUAAGUCGGAUGUGAAAUCUCGGAGCUUAACUCCGAAACUGCAUUCGAUACUGCCGUGCUUGAGGACUGGAGAGGAGACUGGAAUUUACGGUGUAGCAGUGAAAUGCGUAGAUAUCGUAAGGAAGACCAGUGGCGAAGGCGGGUCUCUGGACAGUUCCUGACGCUGAGGCACGAAGGCCAGGGGAGCAAACGGG